rnacentral:rRNA from 1 species
AGCAGCAGCCGCGGGAAUACGGAGGGUGCAAGCGUUAAUCGGAAUUACUGGGCGUAAAGCGCACGCAGGCGGUUUGUUAAGUCAGAUGUGAAAUCCCCGAGCUUAACUUGGGAACUGCAUUUGAAACUGGCAAGCUAGAGUCUUGUAGAGGGGGGUAGAAUUCCAGGUGUAGCGGUGAAAUGCGUAGAGAUCUGGAGGAAUACCGGUGGCGAAGGCGGCCCCCUGGACAAAGACUGACGCUCAGGUGCGAAAGCGUGGGGAGCAAACAGGAUUAGAUACCCCAGUAGUCCCUGUCUCUUAUAC